rnacentral:rRNA from 1 species
AACAGCCGCGGUAAUUCCAGCUCCAAUAGCGUAUAUUAAAGUUGUUGCAGUUAAAAAGCUCGUAGUUGAAUUUCGGGAUCAAUUCGUCGGUCGUGCUUUUUGGUACGUACUGGCGUUAUUGGUUUCUCCCUUCUGACGAGCCAUGAUGUCAUUAAUUUGGUGUUAUGGGGAGCUAGGACUGUUACUUUGAAAAAAUUAGAGUGUUUAAAGCAGGCAUUAGCUUGAAUACAUUAGCAUGGAAUAAUGAAAUAGGACGUUCGAUCCUAUUUUGUUGGCUUCUAGGAUCAACGUAAUGAUUAAUAGGGAUAGUUGGGGGCAUUAGUUUCCAAUUGUCAGAGGCGAAAUUCUUGGAUUUAUUGAAGACUAACUACUGCGAAAGCAUUUGCCAAGGAUGUUUUCAUUAAUCAAGAACGAAAGUUAGGGGAUCGAAGACGAUCAGAUACCGUCGUAGUCUUAACCAUAAACUAUGCCGACUAGGGAUCGGAUGAUGUUAAUUUUUUAAUGACUCA